UGAUGAGGAUUCUUACGAUGCCUGAAAAAUUGAUAAAGAAGUGGAGAAGCUUUCUCCCAAUGGUGAUUUUGAAGACAAUUUAGCUGCCUAUCAUCAUUGUGUCUCUCAAAUCAUGCUCGAUGAGAACCAAAGUCAAGAUUUGACGCAAUAUCAAACAAGAGGUCUGGAGAGAUUUCUUUGAAUGCAGUAGGUAAAAAUGAUGCAGAUGCUGAUGAUGAGGAAAGUGAAAUGAUUCCGAGGAUGGUGAAGAUGUUUCCGUUUGUGUGUCUGCUGCAGAUGAAGGUUAAUGAAAGCAUGAA
rnacentral:lncRNA from 1 species